UGAGUAACGCGUGGGAACCUGCCCUCUGGUUCGGAAUAACUCACGGAAACUUGAGCUAAUACCCGAUACGCCCUUUUGGGGAAAGGCUUGCUGCCGGAGGAUCGGCCCGCAUCAGAUUAGCGGGUUGGGGAGGUAACGGCUCACCACGGUGACUAGCAGGAGCUGGUCUGAGAGGAUGAUCAGCCACACUGGGACUGAGACACCGCCCAAACUCUUACAGGAGGCAGCAGUGGGGAAUAUUGGACAAUGGGCGCACGCCUGAUCCAGCCAUGCCGCGUGAGUGAUGAAGGCCUUAGGGUUGCAAAGCUCUUUUAUCCGG
rnacentral:rRNA from 1 species